UGGGGAAUAUUGGACAAUGGGGGAAACCCUGAUCCAGCGAUGCCGCGUGUGUGAAGAAGGCCUGCGGGUCGUAAAGCACUUUCGGUGGGGAGGAGGAUACUUAGGUUAAGAGCUAGAGUAUUGGACGUUACCCACAUAAGAAGCACCGGCUAACUCCGUGCCAGCAGCCGCGGUAAUACGGAGGGUGCGAGCGUUAAUCGGAUUUAUUGGGCGUAAAGGGCGUGUAGGCGGGAAGCUAAGUCAGAUGUGAAAUCCCGGGGCUCAACCUCGGAACUGCAUAUGAGACUGGUUUUCUUGAGGAUAGGCGGAGAAAAUGGAAUUCCACAAGUAGCGGUGAAAUGCGUAGAUAUGUGGAAGAAGGCCGGUGGCGAAGGCGGCGCUCUGGAACAUAUCUGACGCUGAGGCUCGAAAGCGUGGGGAGCAAACAGGAUUAGAUACCCUAGUAGUCCCUGAGCGGGCUGGCAAGGCGCAU
rnacentral:rRNA from 1 species